AGGCUUAACACAUGCAAGUCGAGGGGCAGCAUUGUAGCUUGCUACAGAUGGCGACCGGCGCACGGGUGAGUAACGCGUAUGCAACCUGCCUUUUACAGGGGGAUAGCGCGAGAGAAAUUUGGAUUAAUACCCCAUAGUAUCAAUUUACCGCAUGGUAAGUUGAUUAAAGAUUUAUCGGUAAAAGAUGGGCAUGCGUGGCAUUAGCUGGUUGGUAAGGUAACGGCUUACCAAGGCGACGAUGCCUAGGGGUUCUGAGAGGAUGACCCCCCACACUGGUACUGAGACACGGACCAGACUCCUACGGGAGGCAGCAGUGAGGAAUAUUGGUCAAUGGGCGAGAGCCUGAACCAGCCAUCCCGCGUGAAGGAAGACUGCCCUAUGGGUUGUAAACUUCUUUUCUGCACCAAGAACGUGCCCUACGUGUAGGGCAGUGACGGUAGUGCAGGAAUAAGCAUCGGCUAACUCCGUGCCAGCAGCCGCGGUAGUACGGAGGAUGCGAGCGUUAUCCGGAUUCAUUGGGUUUAAAGGGUGCGUAGGCGGCUUCUUAAGUCAGUGGUGACAUCCUGCGGCUCAGUCGUAGAACUGCCAUUGAGACCUGGGGGGCUUGA
rnacentral:rRNA from 1 species